UACGUAGGGUGCGAGCGUUACUCGGAAUUACUGGGCGUAAAGCGUGCGCAGGCGGUUUUGUAAGUCAGAUGUGAAAUCCCCGGGCUUAACCUGGGAAGGGCAUUUGGGACUGCAAGGCUGGAGUGCGGCAGAGGAGACUGGAAUUCCCGGUGUAGCAGUGAAAUGCGUAGAUAUCGGGAGGAGUACCGAUGGCGAAGGCAGGGCUCUGGGCUGACACUGACGCUCAUGCGCGAAAGCGUGGGGAGCAAACAGG
rnacentral:rRNA from 1 species